rnacentral:rRNA from 1 species
GACGAACGCUGGCGGCGUGCUUAACACAUGCAAGUCGAACGGAAAGGCCCUGCUUUUGUGGGGUGCUCGAGUGGCGAACGGGUGAGUAACACGUGAGUAACCUGCCCUUGACUUUGGGAUAACUUCAGGCAACUGGGGCUAAUACCGGAUAGGAGCUCCUGCUGCAUGGUGGGGGUUGGAAAGUUUCGGCGGUUGGGGAUGGACUCGCGGCUUAUCAGCUUGUUGGUGGGGUAGUGGCUUACCAAGGCUUUGACGGGUAGCCGGCCUGAGAGGGUGACCGGCCACGUUGGGACUGGAAUACGGCCCAGACUCCAACGGGAGGCGGCAGUGGGGAAUAUUGCACUAUGGGCGGAAGCCUGAUGCAGCAACGCCGCGUGCGGGAUGACGGCCUUCGGGUUGUAAUCCGCUUUCGCCUGUGACGAAGCGUGAGUGACGGUAAUGGGUAAAGAAGCACCGGCUAACUACGUG